CCUUGUGUUGUCUUCCCGUCGACCGUGCGUUGUUUUGUUUUUCUUGGUCAACAUUUAAAAUUCAAACUUAUUUUUAACGUUUUGGUCGACUUUUUGACACUUUUGUAAUUUUUGCAGAUGUUUUUAUCGAUUUUUUAAAACGUUUUUUUAAAAAUGUUUUU